CUGGCUGAAACAUGCCACAUAAUUAGAUUUUCUUUUUCUUUACCUUUUCUUUCUUAUUUUUAUAAGAGGCCCGGAAUUAGCCUCUUCGACUGGGGCGGAGUAGCUGGGGUGUGGGAAAGGAACACCUUCAUACAACUUCCAGCUUUCAGCCCCUUGGAGAGAUUUCCAAAUUCCCCAGAGCCUCUAGGACUUCCUUUCCUCGAUCUCUCGGCCACCUCCUCCUCCUUCUCCGAUCUGUUUUUUUUUCCCUCCUCCCACUGUCUUCUCUAUGGUUUAAUCAAAGUUCAGCGACUCCACUUGCCUCUCCUCUCAUUUCUUUCGGAAAGGGGAAACCAGACGACCCAGCGGCCACGGGACGAGUCGCCCCAACUCAACCCCAGCAGGACGCUGGAGGGGCCUCCCUUGCCCACCUCUCUUCGCUGGCACUGGCCUCCUGCACCCGGGUCUGCAGUCCCUCCGCCAUCUCACAAGUGUGCAGCCGCUAGGCCUGGGGGAUCCGAAUGACUGGGGCUGGAUAGGAAUGCCUUCGUGUUUCCCAAGACCCCCGGGCCUGCUCCACAAAGUUUGAAGGGUGGGUACACCCCGACCCAGGCAAGUUACUCCCCCAAACCCAUGACUGACUAAUCUGAUAUGACAAAAGCCCAUGAUGGAUUUGGUAUAUGUUAAUUCACAAUGCCCUUUCCUCCAGAAUUUAACUAUAAGUUAAUACACACCGGAAACCACGCGCAUGCACGCUCCUUAAUGGGCUUAGGUAUUAGCGAGUCCUAACGAUGCAUACAAAUGUGCUCUGCGCUCUGUAGACCCCUCAAGAUUUAUGGGCCUUGAGCUCUCUGAAGCUGUAAACAAGGAGAAAAAAAAAAGAGAAAGCGAAAGCGACUGGGGGGAAGAGACAGAGGCCUGACUCGCCCCUCCAGGUUUUGGAGAGAAGGGAUUCUUUAUGUAUUUUCCUUUCCUUGCAAGCUCGGAGCCCCUGUUUUAAGAAGGAGGCCAAAUGUGCAGGCUCAGGCCAAGCAGCAGAGAUGAAUGAGGUGAUGACCACAGCCUUGAUCCGGCAGGAGCUCAGAGAUGCCCGGGAAGACGGGGGGCCCGAAUGGAAGCAGAAAAACACUUAUGGCCGCUGGGAAGUUGGGAGAGCCAGGCUGGGACUCCGGCAGGCCCAGGGAAAGUUCCCCUUCUAGGCUCUUUAUUAAAAAAUUUAAAAGGAGGAGUUGAGGCGCCUUGAAUUUUCCUUCGCGAGUUUGGAGACCAGCCGAUUUUUCACGAAGCAAGCAAAGACCGCGGUCCCGGAUCCUGCAACAUAUACCUCAUUUUCUCCAGGUACAGUUUUCUGGUCAUUUAAUUGGUUUGUUUUCUUGGGGGAGAUGGGAAUCACAGGCGUAGAGAUAGUAAGUUGGCUAGAGAGGAAGCCACCCCACAGUUUCGGGUCUAACGAAAUCCCUCCUUUAAAAACAUUUGUACCCCCAAUAAAAAUAAAAUUAAAGAGGAAUAUAGAAACACAAAUUAGCCAACUUUUUUAAAAGAGAAAAAAGAAAAGAAAAUCAUCGUAACAGAUGAGCGUGAGAACUUCUAAAAAAUUUGUCACGAACCCUUUCAGAGGUCUGGAUUCUUUUUCAGUAGCCGGUGACCCAUUUGGUCUGAAAAGAGAAAUACACUAUCCACUGAGUCACUUAUUUAAAGCCAGCACACACACACACACACACACACACGCACACACACACACACACACACACACACACGCACAUUCAGAAAGCCCUGGGUGCCCUCGCAUUUGAAAACAACACCGGGUGGAGGACGCUGCGAUACCUAAUUGGACAAAACAGCAAUAAAAUAAGACCAGUGGAAGUGCUGAGCACAGGGCGCAGGGCUAGGGCCCAGGUUUUGUGUUCCAGGCCGAGGGCGAGGCAGCGGCCCCGGGAGAUGGGGCGCCGGGCAGUCAGGCACCGGCUGGCGACUCUGCUCGGCCUCCGCAGCCCGGCCUGCAGCCCCUUACCCCCAGCCUCUGGGCCUCGUGGGCUCUCUACGCUCCGACGCCUGUUCGGGGCUUCCCUGUUGAGAGGGUUUUAGGCCGAAGGGCUGAACGACUCAAGCCAGACUCUGCUUUUUCAUUUUUCUCCCUUAGGCCUCUCCACUUGCCCGAGCUCUCAGCCACCAGGAGACAGACGGAAGGGGCUUCUGGGCUGUGUUGGGAGCGGGCAUUGUCCCCUACCCACUCCUGCACAGUUUCCCAAAGUCCAGCCACCUCCGACCCUCCUUGGGGGAAAAAAUACCAGUACCCAGACACCUCUGCACCCUGUUAUAUGACUGGGCUUGCUUCAGGAAUAUCUUACAAAGAAGAAGGAGGAGGAGGAGGAACGGCUUGGAGUCAUGUUUACAUCUAGUUCUACUGAUCCGUUCACAUCUGGAGAGUUUAUUUAUAACUCCCUCUAUAACUCUCUGUUUGGAGGCACUGGUGGCUCUACUGACAGACUGAUGUCUAGGAAAUAUUGCUCUAUGUCUAAUGGUACCUAAAUGUGCUGUGGUUGUAUUUACAGAUUUACGUUUGAGGGAAAUAUAAUUAUUUCCAUUGUAUUUGUGCAUAUACAGUAGUUAUAGGAGCAGAUUUAUAUAUGGGAAAAUAUGCGACUCCCUUACAGCCAUCCGGCUUUAUGUACAUUUGAUAUCCUGACAGAUUUAUAUCUCUGAACAGCUAUAUAGAUAAAAACGUAUAUUGUUAGAAUUAUGUAUCAGGAGAUAUAUACUUAUUGAUUGCGAAAUAGAGUAGUUAGAGCAUUCACUUAGAGCCAUAUAUGGCUAUGGAGAUAUUUCUAUAUUAUUAUCACUGUAUAUAGGCAUAUCUAUUUAUAACUGCAUAGUUAUAAAAAUAGACAUAAGUAAUUAUAGUCCUAUAUGUGCAUGCUGCAAUCUCUCUCUAGAGUUAUAGACACUUUCAAAUAUAACUCUAUAGAGAAAUCUGUAUGUAUAUAAGGUGUAAUUAUCCAGUGAUGUGUUUACGUUGGGACUUAGGCCCAUCUGUCUAGAACAGACACAUUUAUAUGUAGGGGCUGGGAGAGACUUAUUCACAGAUAUCUGCAGAGGGCCGACUGGAAACACUGUAUCUGCCCUCUAGGAAACCAGCUAGGAGAGUUGUGUACUUAUGGAGGGAUGGAGUUACAAAAGGGUAAAUAGAGCUCAGGGAGCCUUAAGGAGGGGAGGUGAAUGGAGGGUGGGUGGGCUCGGUUUGAACAGAUAGUGGGAGGAAAGGGGUAAACACCAGCACCCACCAGAAGGCGAGAACCAGUUUUGUGAGGGGCUGGUGCAGAUGACUGUGGACAAGGAGCUUGUAAAAUGAGAAGCGGCUAACAGUCCUGCCACCUCACCCUGAGACACUCUCCACCGAGGAAGCAGCCUUCAGUUUGGCUUUUAGUGCACUGUAGGAUAGGGACUGUCGUGUCACUCCUGUAGUCCUAGAGCGUUUCUCUUGAACCUUAAUUUUUAGGUCUUAAAGAGUGGGCUUCAGAGAUAAAGAGGUUUCGGCAGGGACAGGGCGAGGAGCGUGGGGUGUACUUUCGCUUUCCAAUAAGUAAGGUAAUCCAGGAAAGUGAGUUAAUUUGGCCAAAUAAAGCUUGUUUUUAUGUGGGCCUCCUGUGCCCUGGUGGGGAUGUAGGAUGGGACCAGAAUCUGGUGGACUGAGGAGUGAAUUUCCAAGUAUUGGGCCUGCUCUGAUGGGGGCUUGGGGAGGUUGUCCUCACCACCCGCCCUCCUUCUCUGAGGCCUGAGUGGCCUAAUUCCCUCUGGGUACAGAGGGACUCCUUCAGCUCCCUAACAGUGCUGCCCUGGGUCUUUUCAGGGAGAAUUUGACUUUAGGAACAGGGAACAUGGACUUACCCCACUAGAUCUCACUUCUCCUACUCACAGCUACACCACUCUUACGUCAGCCUCCUUCCAGGCGCCACUCGGCCAGGGGUCCACAGUUCUUCCCCUGCUACCAACCAGCCCAGUGGGGAAAUACCUCCCACGACUGCCAGUUUUUGUGUUUUUGUGUGUGUGUGUGUGUUUUUUUUUUUUUUUAACCAGGAACUUACAGAUUAACUUCAUUAACUGCGUGAAGGAAUUGUCCUGAACUCAGUCUCUGUGGCCAACCUAGCCUCCAGGAUCUCUAGGAUGCUAGGAAGGGAGUGGAGACCCUUGGACCAGGCUAACCACCAUGUGCCAUCCUCCACACACCCCUGCCCACAGGACUAGGAAUUCCUGCAGUGUAGGGACUCUGUCUGCUGCCUGGCACAGAAUGGUUGCCCAAACAUACUUCUUGAGUCUCAUGGCUCCCUGGACCCCCAAAAGUUAUGAAAACUAAACCAGAGCUGAGAACUGGGCUAGGAUGGAAUUGCCUGUCAACCCGAGGG
rnacentral:lncRNA from 1 species